AAGGAAAAAUGCAACAAUAGAAGAGAACGAUGUUGCGACCGUCAAUCAAACUGGCAAAGAGAGAAGAAAGGGAUGAACAGAACGAAGAAAGAGAGAUACAACGAGCAAAUGAGGGGGAAUUUGUUCCCACCGUCAUCACUGCUGCAGUUAUUGUUGUCGUCGCCACCGCCAGAACGGGCUAAAGCCUCACCUUUGCUUCAGUUCUUCACCCACUUGUGCCUCGGCUUCCUAUGCUCCACUGUCAUUGUUGCUAGUGAUGGUGGCAGAAAUGGGAUAUGCUUGUAGAAAAAGUCUUCGUUGGAGCAAUCAAUGAAUAAAUGUUUCAUAGAGAAAAAAUGGUUACGCCGUUUGAGAUAGAGAGAGAGUGUGUGUGUGUUUCAAAUUAUGGAAAUUAGG
rnacentral:lncRNA from 1 species